rnacentral:rRNA from 1 species
CCUACGGGUGGCAGCAGUGAGGAAUAUUGGUCAAUGGACGAGAGUCUGAACCAGCCAAGUAGCGUGAAGGAUGACUGCCCUAUGGGUUGUAAACUUCUUUUAUAUGGGAAUAAAAUGUUCCCCGUGUGGGAUUUUGUAUGUACCAUAUUAAUAAGUAUCUGCUAACUCCGUGCCAGCAGCCGCGGUAAUACGGAGGAUCCGAGCGUUAUCCGGAUUUAUUGGGUUUAAAGGGAGCGUAGGUGGACUGUUAAGUCAGUUGUGAAAGUUUGCGGCUCAACCGUAAAAUGGCAGUUGAAACUGGCAGUCUUGAGUACAGUAGAGGUGGGCGGAAUUCGUGGUGUAGCGGUGAAAUGCUUAGAUAUCACGAAGAACUCCGAGUGCGAAGGCAGUUCACUGGACUGCAACUGACACUGAGGCUCGAAAGUGUGGGUAUCAAACAGGAUUAGAUACCCGAGUAGUC